AUUGAACGCUGGCGGCAUGCUUUACACAUGCAAGUCGAACGGCAGCGCGGGCUUCGGCCUGGCGGCGCGUGGCGAACGGGUGAGUAAUGCAUCGGAACGUGCCCAGUAUUUGGGGAUAGCCCGGCGAAAGCCGGAUUAAUACCGCAUACGACCUGAUGGUGAAAGCGGGGGACCGAAAGGCCUCGCGCUAUUUGAUCGGCCGAUGUCGGAUUAGCUAGUUGGUGGGGUAAAGGCUUACCAAGGCGACGAUCCGUAGCUGGUCUGAGAGGACGACCAGCCACACUGGGACUGAGACACGGCCCAGACUCCUACGGGAGGCAGCAGUGGGGAAUUUUGGACAAUGGGGGCAACCCUGAUCCAGCCACGCCGCGUGAGGGAAGAAGGCCUUCGGGUUGUAAACCGCUUUUGUUCGGGAAGAAAUCCUCUGGGCUAAUACCCCGGGGGGAUGACGGUACCGGAAGAAUAAGCAACGGCUAACUACGUG
rnacentral:rRNA from 1 species